AUUUUGUUGGCGGAAUAUGAAAGUUCAUCAGCAAGCCCGCACACAGGGAAGCAUAUUGAAAUGAGCAUUACAGAUCUGUCAGGCUGGAGUUUAUGGCCUUUUCUCAGUACUACCCUUGGAGUGCAGCUGUGGGUCACCUGGCUAAUGCGGGGGCCAUUCCACAUUCCAGAGGCAUGGAGCCGUGGUCAUUUGGCAUUCCAGAGGCAUUCCGAAGCUGCAGGUCAUUCAUUAUGCCAAGGUAGACUGGACACUUCUCAGGCCGUCCCAGACGCAGUCAUGAUGGUGGCAGGAUGGCGGUACAAUUCCCAGCCUUGAGUCUCUGUAAGUUAGACUCCAACAGGACAGGUGGUUGAAGCCAGAUAAGGAAGAACCUUGAUUUUCAUGCUAGAAGUAUGAACUUUAUUCUGCAAAGGAGUGAUGAGAAAAAGGAAAAAAAAAAUGUGUGAUUUGCUUUACUUUUUAUUGGUUUUGUUCCUACAGGUGAAUGACAUAAUCUAUCCUUAUAGAUCUUCCGAUUGAAUUGCCAAAUAUUGGAGCAGAAUAUACGUGUGUAGCAUCUCAAGAUCAUCAACGGAGGUCAAGUUUGUGAUGUAUGAAUUUUUGGGAAAGGGGGCAAACCAGACUCAAGGUUGGGGCAGGGUGGCAAUGGGAGUGGAAGGGGGCACUGCCAUGACUACACACAACUUCUGUGUCCUGCUUUACUGUUGGAAGCCAGGACCUAGGGAGGUGCUACCCACAGCAGAGCCCUAACUGUGCCUGAGCUCGUAAGCUUGGAUGGGAAGAGGAGGUUUCUGUGUGCACCUGGGGUGGCCGUGGAGGCUGCAAAGCCUGCUUCAGAGGGUCGUCGAGGAUGGCCUACGAAUGCACUAGGGUGCUUGUUAAAAGUGGAUUCUAUAAUCCUCUCCAGGAACGGAUCUCCUUGGAGCAGUUCCCCAUGGCCUUUAAGAAAUAAAGGUCAAAGUUUCUAUCA
rnacentral:lncRNA from 1 species